UUAUAUCUUUUCAAUUUUUAAACAAGUAUUAUUUAAAAAAAUAAAUAGCACACAACUUUGAGCUUGCUUCAAUUUGUAGAAAACAGCUUCCCUUUAGCAAAGCAAUUUCUUCAUUAAAUUUCUCAAACAACAUGAGCUAUGUCAAAUAGAGCUUCAUUGUUUAAGGGACAAGAGAAUUUUAAAAUUAAUGAUAACAUACAAAUAACUAAUAAAAUUUGAUAACUUAAUAAUAAAAUUCAACUUUAUUGCCUUAAUUAGGACAAUAACUUGACAAAAUUGACUUUGAUAUUAAGGUGAAAUUGGCUUGGCCGUAAAGUGACUACUGAUAUUUGUCUUUCGUUAGUUGUUGAUCGGUGGAAAUUGGAAUAAAAGAAGAAAAUGGAACUUGAACAUUUGACUUAAGUAUCAAUUAAUAU
rnacentral:lncRNA from 1 species